CCGAGUCCUCAUAAAGAUAUUCUAUCUAUAUUUGGUACCGUAUAUCCGACUAAAUUAUAACUGUCAUGUUGAUAUGGGGUAUCCAUAAUCUCCACAGUAGCCCCCGAGACCUUCGCAGUUGACAAAAUAGCCUUCUCGAAACAAAAAACAGUAAUCCGAGUGCUUCAAUUUAACUUGCUCUAGCUUGCCGAGUGCUAAAAGACUGUGAAGGGCAAAAAUAAAACAUGGUGCAUCGAGUAGAUGCACCUACUUAGGUGUAGCCCCUGACUAUGUGAUUAGUUGAAAAACUAAACAUGUAGUCAAGAACCGAGUGGUUUUAUAACGAAGCAUGCAUGGUACUCAAUAAAAUACUCAGCCGACUUCUUCUCAACUUGAACAUAUCAAGGAUAAAAAAUAGGAAAAGGGCCGAGUAAUAAACACUUAAAAGGUCCAAAAAUAGACAUAUUUGAUAUGAAUCCGAGUAAGAAACUCUUAAAAUGAUCCAUCAAACAUGAUAAAAAUCAUGGUAAUCAACGAGUCUAAUAGCCUAAGCUAUGACUCUCACCAUAACCAAAUUAAGCAUAUAACAUGCUAAGAGAAUGACCCUUAAUAAAUUAGUCAUCUCGAAUCAACCCAAACAGCUUUUGCAACCUCAUAAGGCUUACAAAAAUAGUAUAACACCUUCCUGUCGGGCACCUUUUGUUUGCAUCGUGUUAAUUCCAAAGAAUUAUCAAACCGCAUUAAAAGGAUUUUAACAGCAUUGGGCCACAUCAUUGUGAGCACAAAUUGCCAAAGCAAAAAGCGCCUAAAUCCCUAGGGAUCACAACGGGUCAUGCUGAAAAUAAAAUUGGGCCGAAAUACUGUGUUUAGGCCCAAGCCCAUUAGUACUCCUGAUACCCUAAUAACACCGAAGUAAAAUGAAACGUCUCUUCGUCUUCCCCGCCGAGACUCUCGCCAUUUUCCCCAUUUCCUGCUACAGUACAAAACUGUGCCGGCAAAACUAGGGUUCAUCAAUCCACUCCAAUCCAUCCUUAAAAACUUCACGAAAUUUCCCCCCACGUCCACUGCUCCGAUUCUCCAUCUCUUUCCAGCCAUAUCUCGGACCAAAUUAAACCAUCCAGUUCACAUUCAUGGCGGAAGAAAGAGAAAGCUUCGAGAGUCAGUGGGCGCCCUCCGAUGUGACGGAAGAUAAUCUGAAGGAGAUGGUGGCGCAUGGCGUUCUUCCGAUGAAGGAGAUCAUCGAGUGGUGACCGGCAUUCGGUGAAGCAUUCCCGACCCCCGAUACGCAUGAAGUCGUGGUAUUUGCUCAUUUCUUCUAUGGCGGUUUCUCCCUUCCAACCUCAAGAUUUUUUCGGGGAAUUCUGAAUUUCUAUGGAAUUAGCCUGCAUCAUCUGAACCCAAACUCCAUAGUUCACAUCGCCAAUUUUAUUCAUGCCUGUGAAGCCUUUUUAGGUAUUAGGCCACAUUUCGCCUUGUUCCACCGCAUCUUUUUCCUUAAGCCUCAGCCAAACAAGAGCAAACCAUGUGUUGUUGGGGGGGGGGGGCUGGUUUCCAACUCAGGGGAACCUUAAGCCAAAAAUACUUCUCUAUGCCCUUCAAAACCUCAAACAAAGGCUAGCACGCAAAUUGGUUUUAUGUUCAAAACCCUGAGCCUGCUCUUCCCGAGUACUCCUGUCUUCCUCCAGUUUAUCGGGAUACUUGGAACUCACUGGCAAUGGGAGAUGAAGCUGCGCAAGCAGUGGAACUGAUGGAGAGGAUGAUAAAGCUAAAAGAACAAGGCCUUCAAGGAGAACAGAUCACCCAGCACUUUAUCAAGUGUCGGUUAGCUCCAAUCAAAGAGAGAUCUCGCACAGCCUUCGAAUUUGACGGCAAGCAUGACCCAAACCGUGAAGAUCCAGAUUCUCUUGACUUCAAGGUCAUGAAGGAAAGGAUGUAUAAGAUCUUCUCAAAUGCUAUCGUUGUCAGCUAUUCACACUUGCUGCCAGUCGUACCGUUCAAUGCAUUCAAUCCUCCUCCACCGGUAUGUAUUCUAACGUUCCAACCUUCCUCAAAAACAUGAUUUCGUCUCUUGUUGAAUUGCUCGACAUUUAUGCUCAGGAGUUCGCAUUGAUGAAGUCAAAUCCUCCAAUCGCCCAGCACCAAUCACCUCACCGCCAAACUGGUCAGGGAAGCGGGGGACCAAGAAUUCGGUCUGAAACCCAACCAAGUGCUUCUGAUCCAGUCGGCCAGUCAGAUUCUCGCAAGAGGAAGCUGGUUCCAAGUGACGAUGAAGGCGAUGAUACCGGAAAGCUCAAAGAUAAAGGAACGACCGGAAAACCUCCGAAGCCAACUAAUCCGAAGAAGAAAACCUCCAGUCGUCCUUUCCCAAAAAUCAGAAAGUCUUCCAGAUUCCUCAAAAGAAACCGGGCCGUCUGCAAAAGAUCACCCGAGUGAUAAUCCGCAAGCCAGCGACAAUGUAGAACCCAGCGACGAACCCACGACUGCAAGCCAGUCGGCCGAAGCUGGAGUCGGAGUUAACCAGGAGCCCCCGACUGGAAACCAAUCGGAUACAGGGCCAAGCCAAAAGAUUCCCGAGGUUGAAGCUCAAACAAACAGUCCUCCCGGGAAGGGUGCUGGCAAUGACUCAGAAAUCAGAUCUCCUGCGAAGACACAAGAGUCUACUCGUCCCCGACCGGGAAUCAUCACAGGGCCAAUAAUUGGUGAGGAAGAAGAAAUCCUCCGGAUACGAGCAGCUGAGGAUUCGCGCCCUCCCAUUCUAGUCAAGUGGUAGGAUGACAACAUGCAGCCUCAAGGAAUCGUAAUAAACAAGCAAAAAGAGGACGAAGAGUUAUGCCUACUGAAAAAGGCACUUGGUCAGGCAACCUGCAUUGUAAAUAGGAUUCAUCUUAGGAACAAAGCUAAAACGACAGCCUUAGAGAGGUUAGUCCCUCAUCUCAGAACCCUCGAAGCCACCAGGAAUCAACUGCACGAAACAAAAGAACUUGCCAGGAAGAAUGAACAUGAUCUGAGGGAUCGGAUUGCUGAGCUCCAGGAAUCCAAUUUUGAACUGAGCGGCUCAUCAAAAGUGCAAGCUGCCAAGAUAUCUCAACUGGAGAAGUAGAUUCAAACUCUAGAAAAUGACAAGGCAGAACUGGCAAGACAGAGGGACUUGGCUUUAAAGGAGGUUGAAGACCGCAAGAUCAAGUCGCGGGCUCAAUUCGACGUCCUGGUUGGCAAGAUCAAAAAACUUGAAGGAGCUCGGGAUGAAGUCGCUAACGCUGCUACCCCACUUGUUCAAGCGAUGUUCUUCAAUAACAAUGGCUCGAGUACACUUAAUGCUUCUGAAAUCUUCGACAAGCUGAGAGUUGCUCCGGAUACAUAUUUCAAGAACAUCAAAGAAGCUGGAAGUAUGGGAGCAAGUCUGGCGUUGGCGAUGACCAAAUCCCUUUAUCCAAGAGUUGACAUUGAUGCCAUUGAUGGCUUUGCAGACGGGACGAGCGAAGAAGCUGCUCUUGACCUCAUCAGUGGUGCGCAAAAAUCUGCCGAUAAGAUAGCAAUCGAUGUAGUUGAAAGAUUUCAGGACAUCGAUCUCCGACCGACUGGUCCUGGUAAUUCUGAUGAUGAAAAGACUGAUACUGGUUGAUAUAACAAUGAUUUUGAUGAUUAAUGAUGAUGGAGGCACAAUUUGUACAAUACUGAUGAAUUUAUGCUACGCUUGGUAUUCCAUACUUAGCUUCUGAUUUCUUAAAAGCCUUUGUCAAGCCUUAUUGAACCUAAAACCCGCAAAAGCUAUUAAAAACCUUCAGUCCUCAUUGACUAAGUUGAAAGACCAAGCAGGGCAAUGAUAAAUCAAGUAAGCAAAUUGAAUUGAUAAAAAUCACACUCCAUUAUUAUCAUAAUAGCCCCCGACAGAUAACUUCAAGGGAAAGCUUGAUGUUGUCGGUCAAAACAGGGAAAUAGAGAAAUGAACUUAGGCAUAAAAACGACGAAGAUGUUCUAUAUUCCAAGAAUUGUCGACAGGUGUACCGUCUUCACGCUUUAGUCGAUAAGAACCUGGCCGGGUUACUUCAGAGAUUAUACACGACCCUUCCCAUAAAGGAGAUAACUUGUGUCGAUCCUGUGUAGUUUGAAUUUUCCUCAAAACCAGGUCUCCGACUAAGAAAGCUCGUAAUAAGACGUUACGGUUAUGAUAACGACGCAACCCUUGCAAAUAUCGGGCCGACUGAAUUAGGGCUGCUUCACGGGCCUCUUCCAGUCGGUGUAGAUCAUCUACUCGGUCUUCUCCAUAGCGCUCCUCACGAAAGUUGCGGAAACGCAAAGAUUCAAAUUCUACCUUGCUAGGCAACAUUGCCUCUGCUCCAUAAACCAGGAAGAACGGCGACUGGCCUGUAGCCCGACUGGGAGUGGUGCGUAAGGACCAGAGUAUGGAUGGCAGCUGUUCCACCCAUUUGCUGGCAUAGGGAUUCAAUCGAUCAAAAACUCAUGCCUUUAUUCCUUGGAGUAGCAUGCCGUUGGCUCGUUCAACCUGUCUAUUACUCAUAGGGUGCGCUACGGAGGCAUAGCAAA